AAAGAAGGGUCAAAAUCCCUAAAAUAACAAGUCUUCGCCGUCCUCCCCAUUCCCAAUCUGAAUCCUGCAGCCCCUUGUCCCGCUACCACCAUGGCCGCCUCCCCCCCGCCCGGCGCCGCCGCACACCACACCCGUCGCUUGUCCCCACACCAGCUACAGCCCCCUCUCCUCUAGCGCCGUCUCCCUCCCCAUCGAGGGCCGCACCCUCGCCGUCCAGCCACUCCGGCGCCAACUGCCUCCCCGUCGACCGGCGCCUCCCUCCCCGUCCAGCUGCUCCAGCUCCGUCUCUCCCUCGACCGGCGCCUCCUCGCCGUCCAGCCACUCCAGCUCCGUCCCUCCAUCGACCAACGCCUCACUGGCAAUCCAGAUCUGCCUCCCUGGCCGUCCAGAUCUGCCUCCCUCGCCGGCCAGCUGCCUCAUCUCCCUCCCAGUCCAGCGCCUCCCAUUGCCAACUCUUACAAAAUCGGGAACUUGUAGCACUACAAACGCCAAGUUUAAGAAGUGACACUGCCACACCACAACCCUCUCCAUCGAGAGGUCCAAUCCAAGCAUGCUGGAAAAGAAGUAUGGGCCUGCAGCAGCAACAAACUUGAACACUACAAUUAUUGCUAAUCUGAAAGUAAUAGCGACAUGCUAUGUUCAUGAUUUCAGAAGAACCCACUACAAAGCAUCUUCAAGACGCACAUCCAGUAUAUUGGAAGGAACGUCAUCUCGAUCUUUGAAGUUAUGUUCCUGCUACUUCUUCAUAGUUGCAGUCUACACUCGGCACUAAGAAAAGACCUUUUCACUUGCUUGGUGACUAAUAGCAUGUGUGUCAUGAGCUGAAGUUUACCUUUUGGUUUGAACACUUGUAUACAUAUAUUACUGUUUUGCCUUUCACCAUUGUUCAUUGAAAUCUGCUAUAUUCUUUUCCAUUGUAGGUGAAUGGAUCCUUCCAAGCCCAAGAGGAUGCUGGUACUCCGAUGGCAGAUCCUUCCCAUGCUGAAGUCCAUGCUCAUGCUACUCAUCUGGAUGAGCAUGGUUCUACUCCAAGACAGGAUGUAUACCAUUUGUUGCACUACAGUUGGUAUAUAGCAAGAUGGAUAAGAGAUACCCGAGAGCUUCUUCCUUUUCAAGAUUAGACGAUGGAUGAUAGUGAUCUGGCAAGUAGUUGUUAUGAUCCCCAGGUCCUCUAUGCACAAACUUGACAAUGGUUUGUGAUCAUGUUACUUCUAUGAUGCUAUACAGCAAGCUGGAAUGGAUGGAUGGGAAAUACCCGAAGACCUUCGCGCCUUUCAAGAUGAGCUGAUGGAUGGUAGUGAUGUGCCUGUACUUGGCAAUAAGAAAAGUCUUCUUCACUUGCUUGGUGGCCAGCAACAAGUGAAUGGAACCUUCCAAGCCCAAGGGAAUGCUGGUACUCUUGACAGAAUCUUCCCAUGAUGAAGACCAUCCUCAUGCUACUCAUGCGGAUGAGCAUAGUUCUACUCCAACAUUUAGGAAUUCCAGUAGUAUAAUUAGUGGUUAAUAUUGUGAAAUAGGGUGCAGGUAGGCUUUCUUUGUCAAUUGUUUCUCCUGGCAAUUUAGGAAUCCUGGCAAUUUAGGAAUCAACUAGUAUGCGUGUUUCGGACUUGGUGACACCUCCUGUUAAGUUAAGCUUCCAUGAAUCAUGACUUGGAUAUGAAUGUGUGGAUCUUGUGAUAAUGAGUUUUAAAUAAAUUGGAUGGGUACAUUGUGACCUA